ensembl:ncRNA lncRNA:CR44365 long non-coding RNA:CR44365
AAUGGCAGAUCGGAGCCCGAAGCCUCGGAGCAGAGUUAUGGUGGCCUAGCUGUCAUAGGUGUCUUAUGUAAAAUACAGAGGUAUAUCUUGAUUGCCAGCAGAUUAAAGUGAUUCAUUCAUUCGACCCGGCAGCGAAUAUGACUUUUUCUGGGGGCGGAUCGCAAUUAGAAUGUGUAUCGUAUCUAUGCCGCAUUCUAGUAGUAUGAAUAUUUAUUUUUGGAGUCUUGCCCAUCUAUUUGUGUAGAUAAAUCCCACUUAUAAGUACGGCAAAAUAAUUGAGAUAUUGUUGCCCGUUUAUGGGGCAAAUGUAUUAAUUUGCAUUUUAUUAUUUUUACAAACCUUUAAAGGUAAUUUAUUUACUUUCCAAGUACAGCAAAUAAUCAGAUAAGAAAUAUUUAUUUAGCUUUACUUAUUUAUAUAUUAUAGCACCUUUUGAAUAUUUUGUAUUCCCAGUUUCGGUAUGCAUUCUGUCUAGACGUUUUCGCAUCCGAACUAACUUAAUUAAAACAAAGUUAUGAGUGUUCGGGCCAUUAUUCAUUUUCGCCAUGGGUUCGUGUCCAGGCUAGUUGCUAGUCUCAUCAUCAGUUUUGCCAAUUAAGCUUCGCACAGGCAAACAACGAAAGGUUGUUCCGACAUAGAAAAGUGCACUGCAAAAUAGUUACAUGCAAAAUGUCGAAAGAAAAUUUUUGUCAAUUUCUUUACAGGUAUGCGUAAUUAGUCGUUAAAUUGGUAAAUAUUUGUAUAUUCAUCUAAUGUUCUAAAUAAAUAUUAAUAGUUUUAAUAUUAGAAUCUUUCGAUAUUACUACUACCAACAUUCUUAGUAAUAUUUAACUUUAUACAAAUAUUUAAAGAAUUUUAUACUGUAAUUACCACCUAAUAACCCAUACUGCAUGAUUACAUAACACAAAUAAAGAAUAACAAUAGCUUAUUUUAAUUGUAAUUGUAAUAUAUGUUUAUUAUUAAUGUACAGAUUGAAGACCAUCGACCAGGAUCAAUCGAUCCUAAACCUUUUUGGAUCUUGGUGCUGUAGUUUUGUUAUCCGUGUACCUUCUGCACCUCCAAUACUCCUCCAUUCCCUCCUCCAUCUCUUCCGCUGGAUGCGUGGCUGGCUUACCUGCGGCAUGGACUCCCUCGCCGGCGACUCGACGUCCACCUCCUCCUCCACGUACAAUUAGUGUCCCUCCGCUAUCUGCCACCACCUCCUGCGGCCAACUCCUGCGCCGCUGCCUCGUUAGAAGCAGCAGCAGCAGCAGCAGCGGCAGCAGCGACGGCAGAGGUAGCAGCACCAGCAGCAGCAGCGACGGCAGUGCCGGCAACAGUUUGAAACUUUCUCAUUUCGGCUGGGAUGGAAGAGCAGAAUGGCCUCCAAUGUUUCUGGCCUCGUCGUCGUCUGCGCAUUUGCUGAGCGCCUAUUCGAAAAUCCAACUAAUUGCUUAUUUUAACCCCUUGAAAACUGAGCGCACAACCAGACAAACACUUAGUUACACACACACACACAUGUACAUGCACACAAUGGUCCCCAGGCUUCGUGUUUAUUAAUUAACAACACAAAAACCCCGAACCAACAAAAGGCCCCAAACACACACACACACACACACACAUAUACACGCAUACACAGUGCCAACCGGGCUUAAUCCAAGUGCUGUCUCUGGCAUAUUCAUUAGUGUUCAUUAGUGGAACAAAAUGCUCAUUUACUUAACUACUCCGGGACAGUCGGCUGUGUAGACCCAUAACGAGCUCCCCCAUCCCCCAUACACCCCUCCCCCCGCUAUUCCAUAGUACCCCACUAGCCCCCACCACCGAUUCCAGUACCACUCCCUUGGCACUUAUCGGCACUCGGCAAGUCACUCGGCUCCUGCCUCGUUGGCCAUCUACAUCCCAAUCCCAAUCCCAAUCCGCAUCUCCAUCUCGCUCUCGUGUUGCCAAUUAAAAUUCCACUUAUGCCAAGUUAACUCACUUGGCUCGUUAAUUGUUGUGGCUUUUUAAUUGGACCCUUUUUUUCUCCUCCUGCUGGCUGCUUUCCCGGCCCCAAUUCAAUUGAACAACAACGAAAGCAACUACAACAACGGCGUUUUUAAUGAAUAGCGCAAAACUUGUGGGUGCUAUGCAUCCAUUUAAGCCCGAAAAAAGCCCCUAGACCCGAUCUCUCUUGGCCCAAUCAAAACUUCCACUAUAUGCGGACCCACCUCCUCCGCGCACUGACCAGGCUUUUUUCUUUUUCAAUGUCCCAUUUGGAUUGCUUAUCGUCUGGGCUCGUCAGGGUUGUCAAGUCCUCGUGAUGGCAAGACUAGAAAAAUAUUCUGACAAAUGUAAAGAUUUAUUUUAGAGAUACGAACUAAUAAAUAUAUAUAAGCAUAAAAACGUGUCUUGCUUUUACAAUGCUAAACCUUUUUUGUAUGAAUAUUGGAAAACCUAACAAGAAAUAAUUCACAAAUUUAAAUAAAUAAAAAUAACAAAAUUAGCUAAUGAGCAAUUAAUACGGUUUAAUUUUAAUUAAUUAUAGCUAGCUAUCCCUUUUGGCGUGCUCGACAACCCUGUCGAGUUGCUCUGGCUCCAUUCAACUAAUGAAUGAAACCGCAAGCAGUCGAGCAGCGGCAACAACAACUCGAAACAAAAACCCAACAAAAACCCCU